rnacentral:rRNA from 1 species
AUUGAACGCUGGCGGCAGGCCUAACACAUGCAAGUCGAACGAGUGGCGGACGGGUGAGCAAUUGCUGGGAAACUGCCCGAUGGAGGGGGAUAACUACUGGAAACGGUAGCUAAUACCGCCUACCAUCGGAUGUGCCCAGUUGGGAUUAGCUAGUCGGUGGGGUAACGGCUCACCAAGGCGACGAUCCCUAGCUGGUCUGAGAGGCUGAACAGCCACACUGGAACUGAGACACGGUCCAGACUCCUACGGGAGGCAGCAGUGGGGAAUAUUGGACAAUGGGCGCAAGCCUGAUGCAGCCAUGCCGCGUGUGUGAAGAAGGUCUUCGGGUUGUAAAGUACUGUCAGCGGGGAGGCGUUACUUGAAGAAGAAGCACCGGCUAACUCCGUGCCAGCAGCCGCGGUAAUAC